UCUCCGUAGGUGAACCUGCGGAGGGAUCAUUACAGAGUUCUCGCCCUCACGGGUGGAUCUCCCACCCACUGUUAUCGUUACUGUCGUUUCUUUGGCGGGCCGCCGGGUCCCCGGCCGCCGGCGCCUAGCUGCCGGCGCGCGCCCGCCAGAGGCCUUCAAACUCUGAAUGUUAGUGUCGUCUGAGUACUAUAUAAUAGUUAAAACUUUCAACAACGGAUCUCUUGGUUCUG
rnacentral:misc_RNA from 1 species